UUAGAUGGGCUUUAAUCAGUUCCACAGGCA
rnacentral:tRNA from 1 species